rnacentral:lncRNA from 1 species
AGUGCAGUGGCACGAUUUGGGCUCGGUGCAACAUCUGCCUCCCAGGUUCAAGCAAUUUUCCUGCCUCGACAGAGACAGGAUUUCACCAUGUUGGCCAGGCUGGUCUCGAACCCCUGACCUCAAGUGAUCCGCCUGCCUCAGCUUCCCAAAGUGCUGGGAUUACAGGUGUGGAGCCACUGCGCCCGGCCGGCAUUAUGAUUUUGUGUACUCUUGAAAUGGUUAUCUUUGUGGAUGAUUUUUUUUUCUUUUAAGCUGAAACUUACCUCAUGAAUAACUUGGUUAAAGUAAUAGGUGAUUAAAAUUUCAAUAGAAUCAAAUGAGACAAAAAUUUUAAACUGACUCAUUUGAUUUUCAACUUUACAGUCAUUGACCAUAAAGCACACUAAAAAUAUGUUAUUUUUAAAUACAUCUGAAAUAAAAAUACUUACUAAAAAGGAAGAAGCUGAAGAUGUAUAUUUAGACCAGCACACAAUUUUGAUUUCAGUUAGCCUUAUUCUAAUAUUUAGCUUUCAGAUCUUUCAUACACAUUUUCACGUACUUUGCAAUUGAGACCAGAAAUACUUGUAGGUCUUUCUGCAGAAUGAGUGGGUCCUUGCAAAGUGAGUGGGAAACUUAUUCCUAGAUCAGAAAUGUUUGCCUCUCUGAGUAAAAUGUUUCUUUGAGAUGAGCCAUAGAGGGGGCACCUUUUACUCAACUUUUCUUUGUUUUGAAACUUUGUUUCCCAUAUUGUUUUCAGCCUUUUGUUUAUAAUUAGAAAUUGUGAGAAGCUUCAUUUAGUGUUUAAAAAUGUGGGGAGAUAAAUCAGACUUAACAUGUAUGUAAGAUCAAUUCACUUAAAAGUAUGGUCCAAAUAGCAAAAAUAGGACCAGGUGAAACAUGUAGCCAUUUUUUAAAAACAUGUACUUGGUCUUUUGUGUGUGUCUGUUUUAUUCCAUUAGAAUAAAUGUGUCCUUGAUGUAAAUGCAAAGCAUUUCUUCCUGAUUAAAUUGUAGAUGUAGACUUUACAAUAUAAUUCAAUAAUAAAAAGUAAUUAACCUCUAGUUUUGUCGUUGCAAUAAAUGGUUUUCAGAUAGC